UGGGGAAUUUUGGACAAUGGGCGAAAGCCUGAUCCAGCAAUGCCGCGUGUGUGAAGAAGGCCUUCGGGUUGUAAAGCACUUUUGUCCGGAAAGAAAUCCUUGGCUCUAAUACAGUCGGGGGAUGACGGUACCGGAAGAAUAAGCACCGGCUAACUACGUGCCAGCAGCCGCGGUAAUACGUAGGGUGCAAGCGUUAAUCGGAAUUACUGGGCGUAAAGCGUGCGCAGGCGGUUUGCUAAGACCGAUGUGAAAUCCCCGGGCUCAACCUGGGAACUGCAUUGGUGACUGGCAGGCUAGAGUAUGGCAGAGAGGGGUAGAAUUCCACGUNUAGCAGUGAAAUGCGUAGAGAUGUGGAGGAAUACCGAUGGCGAAGGCAGCCCCCUGGGCAAUACUGACGCUCAUGCACGAAAGCGUGGGGAGCAAACAGGAUUAGAUACCCUGGUAGUCCACGCCCUAAAACGAUGUCAACUAGUUGUUGGGGAUUCAUUUCCUUAGUAACGUAGCUAACGCGUGAAGUUGACCGCCU
rnacentral:rRNA from 1 species